GAUAAACGCUGGCGGCGUGCCUAACACAUGCAAGUCGAACGCGCUGAAGGGGAGACCUUUCAGUGAGUGGCGGACGGGUGAGUAUCACAUGGGUGACCUACCCUCAGGUGAGGAAUACCGGCGAGAAAUCGCCGACAAAACCGCAUAGGCUCGGGCAACCGAGCAAAGUCGCAAGACGCCUGGGGAUGGGCCUGUGCCCGAUUAGCUGGUUGGUGAGGUAAUGGCUCACCAAGGCUGCGAUCGGUCGCUGGUCUGAGAGGAUGAUCAGCCACACUGG
rnacentral:rRNA from 1 species